rnacentral:rRNA from 1 species
AGGGUAAGAAGUUUUAAGUGGCCUACCUUUUGUAUCAGGGGAGUUUAAAAGUUUAAGUAUGGUUAGACCGAAUUAAUCAGAGCCUUGUUGAAAGGUUUAGUGGAAUUUAAUGCUGUAAAAAAUUAUGUGGUGAUAUUUGUACGGUGUUUAUGUUAGCUGAUUGUUUUUAUUUAUGCGGGGUAAGCUUGCAUAAGUUUAAGUAGUGGUCAAGAAUAGAAAAGUUAGGCUUUAUAUUAGCCAUACUGUUAAAUUGUUUCAAGUAAUUUUAAGUAUAUUUGCACAGUAGCUUAAAUUUAGUAGACUAGCCUUAUAAUUUAAGUUAGGGGUAAAUAAUGAGUUCAUUGAAUAUUUAGAGAAAUAUUAAAAUAACUCGUGGUGGGCUGGAAUGUUUAGCAAAAACAUUUCUUUUGGGUUAAUAAAAGGUAGGACCUGCCCAGUGAGUAUUUAACGGCUGCGGUAUUUUGACUGUGCUAAGGUAGCAUAAUCAUUUGUUUCUUAAUUGGUAACUUGAAUGAAGGGUUAAACCGGUUUGUUUGGUUUGUUAUGUUUAGUAAGAAAUUAAAGUCAAGGUAAGAAUUCUUUGAUUUAUUAGGGGACGAUAAGACCCUAGAAGCUUAAAAAUCAGGGUAUUUGUUAGUAUUAAAAUUUAGCUUAUUUUACUGGGGCGGUAAAAGUAUUUAAACUAUUAAAGUGUUGGAGGAUCCUUUAAAUAAAGAAAAAACGGAAAAGUUACUCUAGGGGUAACAGUGCAAUAUUUUUGGAGAGAUCUUAUCGAUAAAUAUGUUUGCAACCUCGAUGUUGAAUUAAAGUGUCUGCAUGAAGCAGCAGGUAUGUCAGAAGGUUUGUUCAA